rnacentral:rRNA from 1 species
GACGAACGCUGGCGGCGGGCUUAACACAUGCAAGUCGAACGGAAAGGCCCUGCUUUUGUGGGGUGCUCGAGGGGCGAACGGGGGAGUAACACGUGAGUAACCUGCCCUUGACUUUGGGAUAACUUCAGGAAACGGGGGCUAAUAUCGGAUAGGAGCUCCUGCUGCAGGGUGGGGGGUGGAAAGUUUCGCCGGUCGUGGAUGGAUGAGCGGCUUAUCGGCUUGUUGGUGGGGUAGUGGCUGACCAAGGCAUUGACGGGUCGCCGGCCUGAGAGGGGGACCGGGCCCCAUGGGCCUGCGAUACGCCGCAGUCUGCUACGUUGGACAGCAGUGGCGAAUAUUACCCAAUGGGCGGACGCCUGUUGCGGCAACGCCGCGGUCGUGAUGACGGCCUUCGGGUAGUAAACCGCUUUAGCUUGUGACGCCGCUUUUGUGACGGUACUGGGUAAAGAAGCACCGGCUAACUACGUG